rnacentral:rRNA from 1 species
CCUUUAACGAGGAUCUAUUGGAGGGCGAGUCUGGUGCCAGCAGCCGCGGUAAUUCCAGCUCCAAUAGCGUAUAUAUUAUUGUUGCGGUUAAAAAGCUCGUAGUUGGAUCUCGGUUUCGGGCGAGCGGUGUACCUUGCGGUAUUUACUGUUUGCCCGGACGAUUUUGUUGGUUCGUUUAUGGUUCUCUUAACCGAGUGCCAUAAGUGGCCAGCACGUUUACUUUGAAAAAAAUUGGAGUGCUCAAAGCAGGCGCUACAGCCUGAACAUUAGUGCAUGGAAUAAUGGAAUAGGAUCUCGGUUCUAUUUCGUUGGCUUUCGGAGUCGAGGUAAUGAUUAAUAGGGACAGACGGGGGCAUUCGUACUGCGACGUUAGAGGUGAAAUUCUUGGAUCGUCGCAAGACGAACUACUGCGAAAGCAUUUGCCAAGAAUGUUUUCAUUAAUCAAGAACGAAAGUUAGAGGUUCGAAGGCGAUCAGAUACCGCCCUAGUUCUAACCAUAAACGAUGUCGACCGGCGAUCCGUUAUCGUUAACUGAAUGACUUAACGGGCAGCCUCCGGGAAACCAGAGUGUUUGGAUUCCGGGGGAAGUAUGGUUGCAAAGCUGAAACUUAAAAGAAUUGACGGAAGGGCACCACCAGGAGUGGAGCCUGCGGCUUAAUUUGACUCAACACGGGAAAUCUCACCAGGCCCGGACACCGGAAGGAUUGACAGAUUGAGAGCUCUUUCUUGAUUCGGUGGGUGGUGGUGCAUGGCCGUUCUUAGUUGGUGGAGCGAUUUGUCUGGUUAAUUCCGAUAACGAACGAGACUCUGGCCUACUAACUAGACGUUAGAUCCCUUUGUGGGUCUAUCGCAGCUUCUUAGAGGGACGGGCGGCGUUUAGCCGCACGAGAUUGAGCAAUAACAGGUCUGUGAUGCCCUUAGAUGUUCUGGGCUGCACGCGCGCUACACUGAAGGAAUCAGCGUGUGUUCCCUACCCGAAAGGGUUGGGAAACCCGUUGAACCUCCUUCGUGAUGGGGAUUGGGGAUUGCAAUUAUUCCCCAUGAACGAGGAAUUCCCAGUAGGCGCGAGUCAUAAGCUUGCGUCGAUUACGUCCCUGCCCUUUGUACACACCGCCCGUCGCUACUACCGAUCGAGUGAUUUAGUGAGGCCUUCGGACUGGUCUUCAGUAUGGCUUUCGGGUCGUGUUGGAGUACCGGAAAGAUGACCAAACUUGAUCACUUAGAGGAAGUAAAAGUC